rnacentral:lncRNA from 1 species
CUUCCUGUAGUUUUCCUACCUGAACUUUAGGAGAGAUCAGAUCUGAAGCUCUGGGAAAACCAUGAGUGUAAACUCUUUUUCAUGCUAUGAGAAGGGCCAGGCUACUUGAAAAAAUUGUUGAUGGCUUGAUGUUUUUGACCUGCACUUUGGUGUUUUUAAGUUACAGAAAUAACCUAUUCUUAUUAUUAUGACCAAUAUCCAAUAUUUAUUAAAGUUUUCUGUCCAGCACAGAAAUUAAAAGAGAAUUCUUAUGCCCAUCCUGUGAGGUAGUUACUAUCAUUAGCCCCAUUUUACAGAUGCAGAGACUGAGAGAGGAGUUUGAUUAACUGGAGUUUGAACUGACACCUCAGGCUCUUCAUACCACCUUACCCUGCUCAGCCUCCCCAAGCUAAAAACAUCCCAAGUGAUAUAACAUUCUUGCUCUGUGGUGUGAUGGACUGAUUAAGUAGAAGGCUUGAAUCAGUGCUGCUCCCUAUGUGGCCAUGGUCUAAUAUCUGGGAUCACUUCGUGGACCUGUCCUCCUGCUGGUGCCCAGGCUGCUCUGGAGGAAUUUCAGAACUGAUGGCCAGAUUGAUGAGGGAAAAC